CUAACAGCACUGAGGAGGUCAGUGGGUGAGGGUAGGAGGGCAGGAUACUCUUCCAGGAUGGGCUGAGUGUCUGCUUCAAGAUGGACAAGAUUCCUGGUGUGGGCUUUGGAGCAGGACUCCAGCAGGAGAGCCUGGCAUUGUGAGAGCCGUGGAAUAGCUGCACGGUCUCAUGCUGUGCAGUUAAGUGGUUUUCCUUUGUCCAGGGGAGAGGUGGCAUUCAGAGACUGAUGGAGGAAUUUCGUGUCUGGGAUGUUUCUUCAAUUCGGAAGAAGGAGGGCCUCGAUUUCUCCAGUUAAUGCUUAUGCUGAAAAGGAUUCCUGAAGAAUGAAUUACUUGGUCUCCUGACUCUGCAAAUCCUCUCCUCACACCCACCCUGCCCCCAUCUUGUCCUUUUUCUCUGCUUCAGAGGUGUCAGUGGCUCCAGAAAGGUGAACUCUGCUUUACUUUUGCUGGUCCCUUCCAUACCUUCACACCCUUCUUUGGGUGACGUGGAAGCCUUUGAGGAAUGACUUGAUGUCACUGUUUGGGAGGUGACCCAGAGUUCUGCUGCCUGCUGGGGUGAACUGCAGGAUGCCUCUGGGGGAUUGUGAGGUUCCUGCUGUACAAAGUUGUGCCUGGCCUUUGGCUCAGCUCCACACUGAAGCUCAGAGGAGCUGUGUGUGCCAUGGAGCCCCCAGUGCUGUGU